CAGCUCUCCGAGUGGUAGGGAUGUUUAUUGGGCUUAAAGCGUCCGUAGCCGGCUCAGCAAGUCUUCUGUUAAAUCCAGCGAUUUAAUCGUUGGACUGCAGGGGAUACUGUUGGGCUAGGGGACGGGAGAGGCCGACGGUAUUCCCGGAGUAGGGGUGAAAUCCUAUAAUUCCGGGAGGACCACCAGUGGCGAAGGCUGUCGGCUAGAACGAGCUCAACGGUGAGGGACGAAAGCUGGGGGAGCGAACCGGAUUAGAUACCCGAGUAGUCC
rnacentral:rRNA from 1 species